rnacentral:rRNA from 1 species
UACGAAGGGGGCUAGCGUUGCUCGGAAUUACUGGGCGUAAAGGGAGCGUAGGCGGACAGUUAAGUCAGUGGUGAAAGCCCGGAGCUCAACUCCGGAACUGCCAUUGAAACUGUAAGACUUGAGGAUGAGAGAGGUGAGUGGAAUUCCCAGUGUAGAGGUGAAAUUCGUAGAUAUUGGGAAGAACACCGGUGGCGAAGGCGGCUCACUGGCUCAUAUCUGACGCUCAGGCGCGACAGCGUGGGGAUCAAACAGG